rnacentral:rRNA from 1 species
AGAUUGAACGCUGGCGGCAGGCCUAACACAUGCAAGUCGAGCGGUAGAGAGGUGCUUGCAUCUCUUGAGAGCGGCGGACGGGUGAGUAAUGCCUAGGAAUCUGCCUAGUGGUGGGGGAUAACGUUCGGAAACGGACGCUAAUACCGCAUACGUCCUACGGGAGAAAGCGGGGGACCUUCGGGCCUCGCGCCAUUAGAUGAGCCUAGGUCGGAUUAGCUAGUUGGUGAGGUAAUGGCUCACCAAGGCGACGAUCCGUAACUGGUCUGAGAGGAUUAUCAGUCACACUGGAACUGAGACACGGUCAGACU